GUGCUCACUUCGGCAGCACCUACACUGAAAUUGGGACAAUACACAGAAGGUGGGCAUGGAUGCCCUGCAAGGACAACAUGCAGAAGUGUGCUGUGUUAUGUAUUUUU
ensembl:snRNA U6 U6 spliceosomal RNA